AGAGCUCCCACAUCCCGUCAGGAUCGGCUGAGGCUGGAGGUGACCACACAAGCGAUGUGACUGAAGCCACGAGUUCAGCAAACGAAAUGAGCAGUCUGGCCAAUAGAGGAGAAGUGUCAGUGUGUGGCAGUGAAGAUCCCAAAGCAUCUAAGAAAGGGGGCCAAACCGGAAAGGAUUUGAGCUCCAACGACAGCUAAGCGAGCGGAGGAGAGGCCGAGAGUCCGGGAAACAGGGAGAGAAGAUCUCACACUGAGGAAAGGGAUCUUCCAGAGGAUGAUUACCUGUGUGCUGUACAAAUGGAAGGAUUAACAGGAGUCAAAAUUCGCAGACGGCAAUUCCUAAAGAAAAAUCUGAUAUGUGGCUGAUACAGAUCUUCCUUUUUUCUCAUCAGCCGCCGAAGUUAAUGAUUUUGAUUCUCACCUGGGCCCCCAGUGCAACUUUGUGUUUACUAGCACUGAGUUCCCUCAGAAAUACUGCAGAAUACUUCCCAAACUCCAUCCAGACAUAUCAACCACACAAUCAGCUUGUAGCAUAAAUGUAUCUUCACA